rnacentral:rRNA from 1 species
GAUGAACGCUGGCGGCGUGCCUAAUACAUGCAAGUCGAGCGAACAGACGAGGAGCUUGCUCCUCUGACGUUAGCGGCGGACGGGUGAAUAACACGUGGAUAACCUACCUAUAAGACUGGGAUAACUUCGGGAAACCGGAGCUAAUACCGGAUAAUAUAUUGAACCGCAUGGUUCAAUAGUGAAAGACGGUUUUGCUGUCACUUAUAGGUGGAUCCGCGCCGCAUUAGCUAGUUGGUAAGGUAACGGCUUACCAAGGCGACGAUGCGUAGCCGACCUGAGAGGGUGAUCGGCCACACUGGAACUGAGACACGGUCCAGACUCCUACGGGAGGCAGCAGUAGGGAAUCUUCCGCAAUGGGCGAAAGCCUGACGGAGCAACGCCGCGUGAGUGAUGAAGGUCUUCGGAUCGUAAAACUCUGUUAUUAGGGAAGAACAAAUGUGUAAGUAACUAUGCACGUCUUGACGGUACCUAAUCAGAAAGCCACGGCUAACUACGUG